rnacentral:rRNA from 1 species
AUUGAACGCUGGCGGCAGGCCUAACACAUGCAAGUCGAACGAGUGGCGGACGGGUGAGUAAUUUCUCGGAAACUGCCCGAUGGAGGGGGAUAACCACUGGAAACGGUAGCUAAUACCGCAUACCAUCGGAUGUGCCCAGAUGGGAUUAGCUAGUAGGUGGGGUAAAGGCUCACCUAGGCGACGAUACCUAGCUGGUAUGAGAGGAUGACAGGCAAAAAUGGAACGGGGGAACGGUCCAGAAUCCUACGGGAGGCAGAAGUGGGGAUGAUUGAACAAUGGGGGCAAGCCGGAGGCAGACAUGCGGCGGGUAUGAAGAAGGCCUUGGGGUUGGAAAGUACGUUCAGCGGGGAGGCGGGACCAGCAGAAGAAGCACCGGCUAACUCCGUGCCAGCAGCCGCGGUAAUUC